AUUGAACGCUGGCGGCGUGCCUAACACAUGCAAGUCGAGCGGUAACAGGUGUAGCAAUACAUGCUGACGAGCGGCGAACGGGUGAGUAAUGCUUCGGAAUCUGCCCAUGUAGUGGGGAAUAACCAGCCGAAAGGUUGGCUAAUACCGCAUACGACCCUUGCCCACAAGGCAAAGGUGAAAGCAGGGGAUCGCAAGACCUUGCGCUAUUGGAUGAGCCGAAGUCGGAUUAGCUAGUUGGUAGGGUAACGGCCUACCAAGGCGACGAUCCGUAGCUGGUCUGAGAGGACGACCAGCCACACUGGGACUGAGACACGGCCCAGACUCCUACGGGAGGCAGCAGUGGGGAAUAUUGCGCAAAUGGGCGAAAGCCUGACGCAGCGACGCCGCGUGGGUGAUGAAGGCCUUC
rnacentral:rRNA from 1 species